UACAGAGGGCGCGAGCGUUGUCCGGAAUCACUGGGCGUAAAGGGCGCGUAGGUGGCCACUAUAAGGCCGCGGUGAAAGUUCGGGGCUCAACCCUGAAUCUGCCGCGGCGACUGUAGGGCUAGGGCACCGUAGAGGCAGAUGGAAUUCCGGGUGUAGCGGUGGAAUGCGUAGAGAUCCGGAAGAACACCGGUGGCGAAGGCGGUCUGCUGGGCGGUGAACUCGCAAGAGUUCAAUAA
rnacentral:rRNA from 1 species